AUUGAACGCUGGCGGCAUGCCUUACACAUGCAAGUCGAACGGUAACAGGUCUUCGGAUGCUGACGAGUGGCGAACGGGUGAGUAAUACAUCGGAGCGUGCCUAGUAGUGGGGGAUAACUACUCGAAAGAGUGGCUAAUACCGCACGAGAUCUACGGAUGAAAGCAGGGGAUCGCAAGACCUUGUGCUACUAGAGCGGCCGAUGGCAGAUUAGGUAGUUGGUGGGAUAAAAGCUUACCAAGCCGACGAUCUGUAGCUGGUCUGAGAGGACGAUCAGCCACACUGGGACUGAGACACGGCCCAGACUCCUACGGGAGGCAGCAGUGGGGAAUUUUGGACAAUGGGCGCAAGCCUGAUCCGGCGAUGCCGCGUGCAGGAUGAAGGCCUUCGGGUUGUAAACUGCUUUUGUACGGAACGAAAAGCCUUGGGUUAAUACCCUGGGGUCAUGACGGUACCGUAAGAAUAAGCACCGGCUAACUACGUGCCAGCCGCCGCCGUAAAAC
rnacentral:rRNA from 1 species